CUGGCUGUUUUAGAACACUUAAGCCUUUUUUUGUUUGUUUGAUUGUUUGUUUUUUGAUAAAAGUUUUUAUAAAUAUAUUGAUGACCUGUUAUUUAGGUCUUCUCAUUCAUUGCUGAGCUUCACCAUGUGGUCAUUUAAUUGGAUGAUGUUCCAUUCAGAUAUCCAGGAAGUAGGGAGUGUUUGAUCUCAAUGAAAUCCAUUUACAUCUGUUUUUCAGUCCUCCUUGUCCUCCUCCUGCUUCAUUAUGCAUCAUCAUCACACUGUGUUGUCUGGUGUCGGCUUGCCACCCGCUCAGUCUGCAGAUGACUCAGCAGCUUCAUCGUCCACCUGCACAGCCUCCUCAGAGCUCUAAUUCAGCCUCCGCUUGACAUCAGGCUUCAUAAAGAAUAUAAGGCCUCUAUUCUGUCCUUUGAAAUAAUUAAGCAGGACAGAUAACCAGUGGAAUUAUUUGGAUCAAAGCUUUGACAUGAGGCGUCGGAAGGGGGUAGGUGUCUGGAGUGUCCCAGGACGGCUGAAUAGAAGACGUAAACAUCAACCCGGCAAUCACUGAAGCCACAGCAGCACAGGUGCACCGAGAUGAGGCUUUGUUUACUGUAAAACAGCAGGUGCAACAGCAGCUGUGACACACUACUGUCAGAUACAACAUCCCUCACUGGCUGUGGGGGUGAGAGUAGCACUGUGUAACUCUGCAGCUGAGAAUCCCCAGAGCACAGCAGGAGGCAGAGUGCUAAAUGGUGUAAAUGACAGUUGUCAUUAGAUUCUUAUCUUGUAUCUUAAAGGACAAUUCAUCUUUAUCAAUGUGAGGAAGUUAUUCCAACACCACCCACAAAGAUAUUUAUUUAGCUUUCCAUCCAAAAUAUUAUAGUUUUUUGUUUGUUUGUUUUUUGUCUUCUAACUUUUUUGGCUCUUAACUAAAUAAAUUGAACUUUUUGGGGGUCAAUAUCAUGCCUUUAUUGGACAGCUAAGUGUAGAGAGAUGACAGGACAUAAGAAAUGGGGACUGACAUGCAACAGAGGUCUGAACCAUUUGCCACCAGGGCACAUCCAUGCAGAAGAUUCUGUUUUUGACACCUCAUCACAGGUUGAACGUGUCAAUGUGUUUGCAAUAAAAGCUUAGAGUGUAGAAAGGUCAGAUAAAAUUGCAAGUUUGUGCCUGCAUGAGGUUGCUGCAAAAGUUUCUACAGUCAGAAAGAAUCACAAUAAAGGUAGAAGAUAUUAUUUAUGAUGUGUCACAGUAAUCUAGUUUGAUGACAAACAAUAACAGGUGAAGAGAGGAAAUACAGUAUGAAAACAGCUUAUUUGACUUAAAGCGACUUGAGAUGUAAGAAUAUAAAGAAGAAAGAAUGUAACCCUAACCCUAAACAAUGUAAACACAAUAUUGUCCUGUGAUAAUAAUAUACCCAAAGUGAAGUCAGUAUAUAUACACUACAUACUGUAAAACCUUGCUUUCAAUACAAUAUACAGAUCAACACAGUAUUCUAGCACUGAACCAAGCUGAGGAGUACACAGUGACACCUGGUGGCCUUGAGCAGGCAUGACAACUGAGCACCAACAACAACAACACUUAAUUAACAACACUUCAUCUGUUACAGACUGAAUAUAACAACAUGCUAUGUUCAAUCUAAUAUCAAUUCACACAAAAAAGGUCGGGGGAAACUAAUAUCAGUCAAACAGCAUCAUAAUGAACAUAUUAGCAUGACACAAGACAGAUGGGCACUUUCCCUGGUAAAUACAUCAAUAUAAAAGAAAGGAAGACUUUGACUGUUCUUAAAUAUAGAUCAGAGGACAACAAGAACUACUUACUGUAGUUCAUGAACAGGCUCACAGCAGGAUUUUAGAGAUACUGAGCUCCUGCCAACCCAGCUGCCCCCACCCAGACAUGGAGAACAUUUUGAAGACUGUAGUAUAAAUCUGUGCAUUUCUCUGCAUUUUGACAGGGCAAGUAAACAUUUAGGAAAUAAUGUCAGUGCCGGCACGUAGAAGAAAAUUGGACUGAAAUUCCAAAAGAAGAAGAAGAUGAUAAGGGACAGAUAUGGCCAAUUUUGACUUCAAUUGAUCAAAUGUAUUUAUGUUACAAAAAAGAACGUAUUGAAACAGAUGCAACCCUGACUGGGACAAGGCAAGACGAUGCAGAGGGAGGAUGUAUGGUCAGUUUAAUCCUUAUUUCACUAACCCUUCUUUAUAUAUAAUGUAAUUCAUAGUGUUAAAUUCUUUUUAAAAAUAUGUUUUAUCUUUCUAUAUUAUACAACCCCUCCUCAAAACUAACACGUCUCUGGCACCAUUUUAAGAAAUUACUACAAAAGCAGUAUUAAUUGCAGAGCCCCUGUACUGAAUUAAGGUAUUUUUUUGUUAUUGAGUCGAACUUGUGUUCACAUGAGUUGAAUGGUUUGCUGUUGUAUUUUCAUUCUACUAAAUUACUGUUUAUCGAAACACGUGUCAGGGUGUUAGGGCCACCUGCUGGACAGCCAGCGAAAGAACAACGUAUGAAAUGGUUCAGGAUCCAUUUCAUGAUUAGAACCAGUUAUCACCAACUUAAUGUAGCAUGCCUGAUGUCAGCUGGAUGUAUUAAAAAAAAACCCAACUUGAUUUACAAUUUUCAGUUAAAUGUAGUGGGAAGUUUGAGUGAGAGGAGGUUUAUUUUUAACGACAGGAUUUUCAUAAUUUUGUGACAAUUUGAGUAUUUCACAAUUUUAUGAGAAACCACAGUACAUACUCUUACUGGAAAAUAAAACAUCUGGCACAAAUUCUUAAUUAUUGUCACCAAUUUAGAUAAAAGAUAAAGAUAGAUAGAUAUAAAGAUAUAAAUCUGGAUACAUAUUUUUAUUUUUACCAUUUCCUCAAUUAAAUGUCCAAUUUGGUGUUCUUUUUUGCACUCUUAUUGGAGUUUAACACCUUAUAUUUUGUAUGAUAAUAUCGUAUAUUGAUAUUCAGUCUAUUUAACACUUCAGACAUGUAUUAAUUCACCCUGAAUAGCCUUGUCUCUGUCUGGGGCAUUUUGAACUGAAUAUCCUGUUUACAUAUUAGGCAACUUAUGUCACUUGUUGCCUAAUUUAGUGCUACACACCAACACGUCUCAAUCCUGUUUACAGCAGCUAGAGAGUAACAACCACACAAGCUAAUUAUAAAGGGAUUGAAAUCUUUAUUUAGCCUAAUACAGUACAGUGCAACUGUUCACCUUAAUCCAGUGUUAACACAGUGAACCCUGGGCCCAACAUGACAGGUGAACCUUAGCCUGAUAGCCAGCAUCAUAUCAAUAGCUUCCAGAUGGAGUCAACUCUUUACUGCUCCACCACACGUGAUAAAAGUCGAUACAAGAAAACACAGAGGGUGUAGAGUUUACAACACACGUAAUCUAUGAUUCCAUUUCUUGAUAAAUAAAACUGCAUGAACAC